rnacentral:rRNA from 1 species
AACGAACGCUGGCGGCAUGCCUAACACAUGCAAGUCGAACGAGACCUUCGGGUCUAGUGGCGCACGGGUGCGUAACGCGUGGGAACCUGCCCUUAGGUUCGGUAUAACUCCCCGAAAGGGGUGCUAAUACCGGAUAAUGUCUUCGGACCAAAGAUCUAUCGCCUUUGGGUGGGCCCGCGUUGGAUUAGCUAGUUGGUAGUGUAAAAGCCUACCAAGGCGACGAUGCAUAGCUGGUCUGAGAGGAUGACCAGCCACAAUGGGACUGAGACACGGCCCAGACUGCUACGGGAGGCAGCAGUGGGGAAUAUUGGACAAUGGGCGAAAGCCUGAUCCAGCAAUGCCGCGUGAGUGAUGAAGGCCUUAGGGUUGUAAAGCUGUUUUACCCGGGAUGAUAAUGACAGUACCGGGAGAAUAAGCUCCGGCUAACUCCGUG